UCUUUGUCCCUCUGUUAACUCUUGUAAAAUAGGGAUAGUUUUCAAGAUUAAGUAGGUACAUGUGUGUACACAAUUUAAAACAAGGCCAGGUGAAUAUAGCACACGUGUUAAAGGCAUGUUAGCUAAUAUUCUUUCAACUAAUUGUUAUUGAGGCCUAACUAAAAACAAGACUUUCUUUUAGACUUAGGGAUGCAGCUCUGAAUAACAGAGAAAUGGUGGCCUACACCAGGACCAGCUGCAAUGACUGAUGACCUCCUGCCCUAACACUGAGCAAUCAGUGGAGACCAUGACCCUGAAGGAGCAUACCUAGAAACUGAUGAAUAUUCCACUGAAACCCUCCUUGAGACUUCCCAUAAGAUUCCUGUCUGCAAGAGAGAGAUAAAGCCUCAAGACAAAGGACUCCUGCACCCAGAAAAAGAGCAUGGCUGGUGAGUCUAAGGACAAGAUAUACUAUGACAGAUAAGGACAGGUUGCUGCAAGCCUUUUCCCGUCAUAUCCAGCAGGAGCUGAGACGCUGCUAGUGGACCCUGGCCUCUCCUCACCCCUCACCUGGAGAUGCCCACACGUCUGGUACUGCGGCUGACAGCUGACCUGCCCGGUCCCCGACCUGCUACUUUCCACCAGACAUCUUCUGACCUGGGAUACUGAACCCUACUCCACGCGGGACGUGGAAGGAAACACUCGACAGAUGAGGUUACAGUGAAGACCGAGACAGCUCAACUCACAACCCAGUGGGGUAAACAGAUCAGUCACCACUGACUUCCCAGCAUGGUCUGGACUGGGCUGGGGAGGUACAGGGAACUGGAACCCAGAGUAAGUGUCCGCCCCAGCCUGGGAGUGGUAGGUGCAGGGAGGAGGACUUCCUGGAGGAAGGCACGUGUGAGUCUGAAGAAUGAGUAGAGGAAGAUCAUAGGUAAGAGCGUUCCCUGCCAAGAAAACAGCCUGUUGGGAGGUCAGAGGGUAGCAUGGGGGUGUUUGGAGGAACUCAGGGUUGAUAAUGAUUCCAUCACAAAG